rnacentral:rRNA from 1 species
GUAGGGUGCGAGCGUUAAUCGGAAUNACUGGGCGUAAAGCGUGCGCAGGCGGUUGUGUAAGACAGGUGUGAAAUCCCCGGGCUUAACCUGGGAACUGCGCUUGUGACUGCACGGCUAGAGUAUGGCAGAGGGGGGUGGAAUUCCACGUGUAGCAGUGAAAUGCGUAGAGAUGUGGAGGAACACCGAUGGCGAAGGCAGCCCCCUGGGCCAUUACUGACGCUCAUGCACGAAAGCGUGGGGAGCAAACAGGAUUAGAUACCCUGGUAGUCCACGCCCUAAACGAUGUCGACUAGGUGUUCGGUGAGGAGACUCAUUGAGUACCGCAGCUAACGCGUGAAGUCGACCGCCUGGGGAGUACGGUCGCAAGAUUAAAACUCAAAGGAAUUGACGGACAGCAGCCGCGGUAAUACCAAACUCAAAGGAAUUGACG